rnacentral:misc_RNA from 1 species
UCCGGUUUGGCACCUGUGUUCCCGCCAGCCGAACUGAAGAGCUACAUCUCUGUUGCUCAUACGGGACAUGUCAAAGGUUGGUAAGGUUCUGCGCGUUGCUUCGAAUUGAACCACAUGCUCCACCGCUUGUGUGGGCCCCCGUCAAUUCCUUUGAGUUUUAAUCUUGCGACCGUACUCCCCAGGCGGGAUGCUUAAUGCGUUAGCUGCGCCACUGACAGGCAAGCCUGCCAACGGCUAGCAUCCAUCGUUUACGGCGUGGACUAC